rnacentral:lncRNA from 1 species
AUAAAAGUCAAGCAUGUGGGUCUGAUUAAUGUUAUGUCCAUCUCAUUUACAGGUAUUUUUUUCUAAGAGCUGAUGCAACCAUGCCAGAACCUUGCACAAGACAAUGAGGAGCUACGGGUGUGCCAUGAGAGGAGGUGAAGCAGCCUGCUUUCAACAGUGGAAAGGAGCGUUUUGCCUAGUUUGAAAGACUGGUGACAUGAAAGAUAGAUACUUCUGGGCUGUCAGAGGAAGGAAGCUCAGCUAUUUCAGAGCAUGCACCCUCAGUGAAUGUGAGUAGACUGUGUGUUCUCAUAAUUUUCCAAAAAGAUUGGUCCUGAGAGCUGA